rnacentral:rRNA from 1 species
UCAGAGCGAACGCUGGCGGCGUACUUAACACAUGCAAGUCGAACGGGGAUUGCCGGCGUAGCAAUACGUCGGCGGUUCUAGUGGCGUACGGGUGAGUAACACGUGGGUAACCUGCCCUCGAGUCCGGGAUACCCUCUCGAAAGGGAGGCUAAUACCGGAUACGUUUCCCGGGCUGCGAAGCUCGGGGAGGAAAGGUCGCGAAAGCGAUCACUCGUGGAGGGGCCUGCGGCCUAUCAGCUAGUUGGUGAGGUAACGGCUCACCAAGGCUACGACGGGUAGCUGGUCUGAGAGGACGACCAGCCACACGGGGACUGAGACACGGCCCCGACUCCUACGGGAGGCAGCAGUGGGGAAUUUUCCGCAAUGGGCGAAAGCCUGACGGAGUGACGCCGCGUGGGGGACGAAGGCCUUCGGGUUGUAAACCCCUGUCAGAGGGAAAGAAGUGUGCUGGUGUAAAUAGCAUCGGCACGUGACGGUACCUUCAGAGGAAGCCCCGGCCAACUCUGUGCCAGCAGCCGCGGUAAGACAGAGGGGGCAAGCGUUGCUCGGAAUCACUGGGCGUAAAGGGCGCGUAGGCGGGGUGGCAAGUCGGUCGUGAAAGCCCCCGGCUCAACCGGGGAGGGUCGACCGAUACUGCCAUUCUUGAGGGAUGCAGAGGAGACUGGAAUUCCCGGUGUAGCGGUGAAAUGUGUAGAGAUCGGGAGGAACACCGGUGGCGAAGGCGGGUCUCUGGGCAUCUCCUGACGCUGAGGCGCGAAAGCGUGGGGAGCAAACGGGAUUAGAUACCCCGGUAGUCCACGCUGUAAACGAUGACGACUAGGUGUGGGGGGGGUUCAGUCCCUUCCGUGCCGCAGCUAACGCAUUAAGUCGUCCGCCUGGGGAGUACGGC